AUCCUUGGCGGCUCGUCUGAAGCCUGGUAGUGAUGAGGCUUGGGCAAAAUUUACUCCAAAGCUCUUUCUCUGCAGUUGGCAAAAAUAGGCCUUGGCAGUCACUUAUCCGUGAAAAAUUUUAAGAAGGGCAGACGCCUUUUCCAGAUUUUUUUCAGUAGUUAUAUAAAGAACCUAUAUAAGCAAAAAUGUCCUGAAGCCUUAAGUGCCUACUAAGUUCCAAGAUUUCAAGCCUACGGGAAUGGGAGGAUAUUGGACCACAAAAUGAAGUAAUGAGAAGCUAAUUUUGUGGAGAAGAGGAUGCAUCUAUUUGAGUUUAAGGUACCAGCUGGCAGGACAUCCUCAGGAUAAGGAGAUUGGCCAACUUGGAAAUAGCAGACUAUGCAGAGAUCAGAGGCAGGCAUCUGGAAGGGAGAAUGCUGUUGUGGAGGGGGAAGAGAGGCUCCCAUGGUGAGAGAGGGAGAAAGCUGGAGGGGCAAACCCAUGAGGAACACCACCUUCAUGCCUGUCCCCACAAUGUGACUGCUGUAAGUGGUAUCUCUUGGCAAUGGAUUAACUGGGAAAUGCACAUUGGGAAGUGCACAGCAGACAUCUCUAGAGUUUAGGAACUUUAUGCCUACCAACCCAAUAUUCUGCUAUAACGCGCCCUCAAGAAAUCUAAGUCUUACCCUGGUUGGAUAUAGCUGUGAUGGGGAAAAGGAAAAAAAUGAAUGCUGGGUGAAGGGAGCUGCAUUUUUUAAUUGGUGGAAGUAUGACAAUAUUAUAGGACCCUUGAAGGAGGGCACGUGGUAAUAAAACAAUCCAUGUGACUUAGAGCCAAUCAUAUUUAUGCUCCAUAGGAGUACACUGUCCAGAAUAGUAAAUAAAUGGUUAUUUAAAUUUAAGCUAAUUAAAUUUAAAUAAAAUUUUAGAAUUCAUUUCCUGAGUUAUACCUGUCAUAUUGCUCACAAUGCUCACAAGUCACCCAUGGAUAGGCCACCAUAUGGGAUGGUGGAGGGUAGUACACUCCAUUACUGUACAAAGUUCUAUUGAACAUUACUGCUAUAGAGUAUUGUUACUUCUCGCUCUCUUGUUACCUCCUAGGCCUUUAACUUUUGGGAUAUAGUAUUUUUUUAUUUUAUUCCUUUCCUAUUUUACCCUGAGGACCUGUCCCAUUUUCCCUUUAUGCCUCUGAUUCCACCACCAACCUUAGUUUUGAAGAAUUGUUAUCAACUUUUGCCAAAGAUGUGACCUCUGACCUCUCCCUUUGGUUUUGAUUUUGGAUUUAUUACUUGGUAUGUAAUGGUCUCCACCUGUUUAUACUUAGCUCUUGCUUUGGCCUUAGCAACUGGUGUUUCUUCUCCUCCCAAUUCCCUAAGUUUACUUUAGAAUUUUAGUUCAUAGUUUCUUGUUCUGGACAUAUAUACUCUGUCCUUAAUUCACCAGUCCUCAUAGUGCUGCUUUUACCUCUUAUUAUGUAAAAUUGUAGACAGUAAUGUUUUAUUUUUUUUAAAGAUUUUGUUUAUUUAUUUAUUCAUGAGAGACACACACAGAGAGAGGCAGAGACAUAGGCAGAGGGAGAAGCAGGCUCCCUGCAGGGAGCCUGAUAUGGGACUUGAUCCCAGGACCCAGGGAUCAUGACCUGAGCCAAAGGCAGAUGCUUAACCACUAAGCCACCUAGGUGUCCUGACAGUAAUGUUUUAUUAAUGUGCUAUAACUGGGCUUCAUUUUUAGCCAUUGUGGAAAAAGUUUUUGAAAUGUGGUUAAUACUUGAAUAAUACUUUUUAAUAUUGCAAGAGGGAGUUUGGAAGUGGGGGCUUUUAUUGCUAGCUACUUGGAAGAAAGCUAAGACAUAAAUUCCAGAUAGAUGAUAAAUUUGUAAUUCUUUUUAUACUAUACAUAGAGCAGUGAUGUACAGAACUUGAAAGCCACCAACUGCUCUGCACUAUUGGCUAAAUAUUACUUGAUGGUGUUUCUAUCCACAGAAACAUUUCUUAACUAAAAUAGUGUAAAUUCAGCUUCACAAAAUUUGGAAAUAAAAGAUGUCCAAAUUUCUAUAAUUAAUUCCAUUUAAAGAAAGAUCAAUUCAAGAUGACUCCAGUGAUUAAUUAUGUACAAAAAUGUUAGUUUUGGGGUUUUUUUUUCUUUUACCUUGACAUUAACUUGUCAUUUCAAGAUGCACAGAGAAAAAUUGCUAAGGGAGGAAUCCUGCAAUAAAGAGAAUAUAGAAGCAAAGCAGAACCAAUUAAAGUGGGUAAAUUAUUAGGAAAUGUAAUCAAUCUUCAAUUAUCUAAGGACUUAACAGUUCGUGUAUGUAUUUCUUCAUUUGUUAGGGAAUUGCAGAAAAAGAGAGUAAAGUGGAAGUUUAAUCACUGAUUAAAGCCAGUCUAAAACCUAAUUGCAUCACUAAGUACGGUGCUUUUCACAAAGUGGGCACUCAAUAAAACUUAUGGAAUUGUAGAUAAAGGAAAGAUAGACCACUACAAAUUAAAAUCAGCCAGUGAAUUUAAAAAGCCUCAUUUGUGGAAAGCACACUACCAAGAAUUCCAUAGAAAAUAGAAAGCAAUUUAUAGAUUCUAAGCAAAAAAAAAAAA
rnacentral:lncRNA from 1 species